CACGGGGGGAGCAAGCGUUGUUCGGAAUCACUGGGCGUAAAGGGCGUGUAGGCGGUCAGGUAAGUGAGAUGUGAAAUGCCCCGGCUCACCCGGGGACCGGCAUCUCAUACUGCUUGGCUUGAGUACGGGAGAGGAUGUGGGAAUUCCUGGUGUAGCGGUGAAAUGCGUAGAUAUCGGGAGGAACACCUGCGGCGAAGGCGGCUUCCUGGACUGCAACUGACGCUGAGGCGCGAAAGCUAGGGGAGCAAACAGG
rnacentral:rRNA from 1 species